rnacentral:rRNA from 1 species
UCUGCAACUCGACUCCAUGAAGCUGGAUUCGCUAGUAAUCGCGCAUCAGCCAUGGCGCGGUGAAUACGUUCCCGGGCCUUGUACACACCGCCCGUCAAGCCAUGGAAGCCGGGAGUGCCUGAAGUGUGCAACCGCAAGGAGCGCCCUAAGGUAAAACUGGUGACUGGGCUAAGUCGUAACAAGGUAGC